rnacentral:rRNA from 1 species
UACGAAGGGGGCUAGCGUUGCUCGGAAUGACUGGGCGUAAAGGGCGCGUAGGCGGCAUGUACAGUCAGGCGUGAAAUUCCCGGGCUCAACCUGGGGACUGCGUUUGAUACGUGCAGGCUAGAGUGGGGAAGAGGGUCGUGGAAUUCCCAGUGUAGAGGUGAAAGUCGUAGAUAUUGGGAAGAACACCGGUGGCGAAGGCGGCGACCUGGUCCUUUACUGACGCUGAGGCGCGAAAGCGUGUGGAGCAAACAGG